rnacentral:rRNA from 1 species
UACGUAGGGCGCAAGCGUUAUCCGGAAUUAUUGGGCGUAAAGAGCUCGUAGGCGGUUUGUUGCGUCGGCUGUGAAAUCCCGAGGCUCAACCUCGGGUCUGCAGUCGAUACGAGCAAACUAGAGUGUUGCAGGGGAGACUGGAAUUCCUGGUGUAGCGGUGAAAUGCGCAGAUAUCAGGAGGAACACCGGUGGCGAAGGCGGGUCUCUGGGCAACAACUGACGUGGAG